rnacentral:lncRNA from 1 species
CUCCCGUCAGCAUGGUGAAGCCUCUGUACACAGUGUUCAUGUUGAUGAAAGUGUGAUGUACAGUGUUCAUGUUUUAUGGAAAUGACUCUCAAUCUCUCUCUCUACAGUGAUACUAUGAAGGACACCACCUCUAAAGCUUUGUGUUCCUACAGUAUGCCUUUUGAAACAAUAUGUUUUGGUAGAAUCACUUGUCUUUACGUGUUGUCGAGUCAGGUUUUGAAGCUGGUGUAUUAUUAAGUAAUUUAAUGGCAACAAACAUUUAAUCUCAUGAACCUGAACGUAAAUGUUUGGUGUUGAUGAGGUUAUUUUGGAUCUUAGUAUCAUUAUUUGCAUCUUUCUAUGAUGGACUGCAAAACAUAUGUAUUCAUUAAGAGGUAAAAGUAUAUUUAAAAACAGAUACCUUUCUGUUUAAGGCUCAUCAACGUGCCUUAAUUUGACAUGGAUUUAAAAUUAGCGACUGCUCAUCUUUAACCCUUAAAAAUAUAUUCAGUAUUAGGCAGAGUUUGAAUGAUAUGUCACUCAUAAAAUGAAAAUAAUCCACAUAGAGCUAUCAAAAGAGGAGAAUCCUCUUUGUUGCCCCACUCAACAACAAAAAAACAUAGAUUCUCACUGUAGAGCAAGAGGAGCAACUCAGUAACUAUAAAAACUGAAGCCUUUCUUCAGAAAAGUUUUAUUACAAAUACAGUAUAGAGUAUAUUUUCAUUUUAUGGGUAUCUGAAAGUGACAAAAUAUUGACAUAUUCUUUCAUAAUUUUUUUGAGAAUUAACCCUGUUCAUCCCAUAGUAUCUUAUUAAUUCCUCACAAUCUGAAGCCAAUGCAUUUCUCACCAAAUCAUCAGUUUAUUUAUGGUUCAAUAUUACAGAGCCUUUUGGAAUCAAUGUCCUCCUGACUCCCCAUCUAACUAAUCACUGAGAGUAUAGCUCCCCCCGGUGGUGAGUUAAUGUAAAGCAUGUGUAUUGUGCCUGUCUCCUCCUCUUUCUAGGGAACCUCUAGGUGCGUCUAGUGAUCCUGCUGGGUCUGAGAGCUUACAGUCACUGCUACACCACUGUAUUACUAAAGCCAAGAGAGUGGCUGCCAACACCAAUAACAACUCCACUUCCAGGAGAAGAACAGGUGUGUCUCUCUCUCAGACCCAGCAGCAAUCCCAGACCCCCUCGGCUCACAGAGAAGAUCUCUACCUCCACAGGAAGAGGAAAAGGCAGAACAGGAAGAACCCAUAUCUCUUUUUAACCUCCCUCCUGCACCGCAGAAGACGCUCUGAGGAGGACCAGGCGGCCAUCCUGGCCAGUACAGACUCAGACGGGCCCAACUACAGGACUCUCCACUGACCACUGACCAGUAUGUCCACUACUGUCACUCACAGACAGGUCAAGCCAUGGGACGUGACUACAUUGACCCGCCAACCUAGAUCUCCCUUAAUUCCAUUCAGCUUUUGGCAGUGGGUAACCUGUCUCUAGCGUUUUCCAAAUAAUUUACAGACAAAAUGAAGAUGUUUUCCGUGUCUCCCUGAGGAUAAUGUAGUGAGGGUCACCAGAUAAAACAUCUGUAAUGUAAAUACAUAAAAUAAUGAAAAAGGGGACAAUAUCUCCUAUUGUAGUAAAAUGCAUUGAUCUAAAUAAUUCACAACACCUUAAAAGUCACUGGUCAGGAGGAGUCUAUCUGAGGUGUUACAGUGACACAGUGGACUAAACCUGGUGCGUUCCUUAGACAAGGACCUCAGUCUACCUUUCCUACAAUUCAAAUAGUGUCAGUAUCUAACACAGGGUACUUAUCGCAAAAUAUACCUCAGAGUAAGUGCAGAAUUGCAGUAAUUCUAUUGGACUAUACGUAUUUUACAUUAUUUUUCAAAUGAAAUGUAUGAAAGAAAUGGUAUAUAAUAUCAUUCACUUCACACAUGAAUUGGAUGCUAUGGCCUGAAGUCUGAUUUUCAUCCGCUUUUAAUAUCGAGCCCAAUCUGCAUAUUUUGCUUAAUCCCAAAAGAAUAUCAUCCAAUACAAGGCGCGGUAUGAUAUUGGUAUAUUUCAAAUCACUAAAAGACAUGUCCUCACUCUCUUGCAUUUAACCAUGUGAUCACAUCCAGUAAAGGUCAGCCCACGUUCUUCUUGCUAAGACAUACAGUAACUUUGUGUUCAAGAGGCCAAAUGUACACUUGAUAGGGUGAGGACAGAAAAGGGGUGAGAAAAUGUGAUAAAUGUGUAUACAGUGUUUUUCAUUAAUAUGGAGGAAACCUCGAGUCAUUCGUGGAGUAUGGCACAUCUCAAGGUGCCUUGUUUGCCUUUUCUCUCUUGUUUUUGAAAAGUGAAUUAACUGCCUUUUCCUUCGCCUUCACGCAUUCUCUCUCUCUCUGUUGGGACUCAUUAUAAGCUCCAGUCUGACCUGUGGACUGACUCUACUUUUUCUGCCAAGAACACCUAGCUGUGAGUAAGGGGCACUGAAGGUGUAUUACUCUGGUUCUUUUUUUAAUCUUGACUGUGUAUAUUCUACUAAUAGAACAGACCUAUAACAACAAUUAGUGAUUAUGAUGACAGUGUUAAUCAUUUCAGGUUUCAAAUUGUGGUAAUGCUAUAACAUAGAUAUAAAAAAAAAUCACAAUUUAAUCAACAUUUAAAUGUAAAAGGUACAGAAGUAGUUAUUAUGCAGAAAGUGAAACUUGCCACUGAUGUUCAUAUUUCAAAACAGCUGUAAUACUGAAUACUGUAUUGAAAGAUCUGAUUGCUGUUGCUUUAUUAGGCGAUUUUAACAAGUGGGCUUGUUAGAUGACAAGUGACAACAUUUGUGUUACAUUAACUAAACUCAAAAGGUGGGGUGGCUGUCUCGACUCUCAACUGUUUAUCUCUAGCAACGGUAUAAUAUUACCUGCUAGCUAUUUCUCUAUGUUUAUUCAUUUUAACACUAACCGAUAAUGAAUGUAUGUUUUGCUGUACAGGAAGUGACUGUCCUGAUGUCAUAGUACAACGGAUGUGGUGGUAUUAAGUUUAGGUUUAAUUGGCUAGUUGGCUAGUUGGCACAAUAGGUUGAUUUGAUUUAUCCCACAAGGUUAGCUGGUUAACCAAGGAUAGGUUCAACCACUCUUGGUUGAAUUCUUUCCUUUACACUGAUAGUUAAUAUUAUAAUUUUCUUCUCACCAUGUAAACUAGACCUAUUAGAGCGCUUUAAGCUUACACACUGACAAGAUGAAUCACUGGAAGACAUUGACAUUUUAAACCAGUUGUCUGAUUUGGAGUCACUUUUAUCUUUACUGAUAGCAAUUCAGGAGUUGAACUAGACAUAACAACUCUCUGAAUGUAUGUUAAUUGAACCCCUCUCUGCUUGCUAUAGAAUAUAUAUCAGUGAUCAAAACAUCAACUUUAUCUGCCCUCUUCACUCACUUUCCAACCUAUUUUUUUUAAUUGGUGAGAUAGUGACGAUUUUGUGGAAUGAAGUUAUUUGAAAUUGAUACAUCAACGUGCAUAUUCCAAGAAUUGGUUAUAUGUAAGAUAUGGGGAAAAUCUAUAUUCAUAAUGUAUACAUGGUGUGUACUGUAUUUGUGAAGAUGAAACAGAAAGAUAUUUUGUUCAUUAUUCUUGAGGACAAAAAUAGAGAGACAGAUUUAAAGCAAGUUAAUAUUAGAUGUGAUGAAAGUAUUUGCUUUAAGGCUUUAAGUGGACAAUAUUUAUAAAACAUCUUAAGGUGCUUCGUUUGUCAUGUUUUCGGAGACGUUAUUUUACAUUUAUGGAAAAGUAAAUGUUAGCACAGAACAAAUGUUUUAUUGUCAUGUGGGCCUGUUGGCUGCACAAGUUCAGUAGUAUUUAUUCUGUUGUAUAGUAUGUGAAUGAAUACCAAUUUGAAAAGCAUCAAUGUGUCAUUGCUGGACUAAACCUUAUCUGAAACAGAAAACUUUUUUUCCCCACAAGCACACAGGUAGAUUCACUCAUGAUCACUUGCAUCCAGAUGUCCAAAGUAUGAGAGAAACAAAAGAGAGCCACAAACAAUCUAAUAGUUAUGGGGUACUGUAUGUGCUGCAACCGAAGUCGUGUUUACAUUAGCUAGAGAUGACGUACGUGCUACUAGGACGUAGUUGCUUUCAACAUUAUGACUUGGUGCUAUGUUUAACUCUGUGGUGCUGUAGAUCAGAGCCCUACUCUCUUGAAGUCCUCUGUGUUUUACCAACUCAACUAGUCCCAUCGUUGUAAGUCCUAUUAAUAAACUAGUGUGAUUGGCAAUGAGCAAAUUGUAUUGAUUGUGGAAUCAGAUAGUGGCAAUAGAUAGUGUGGUGACAUUCAAAAAAUACAUCAAAGAGACUUAGAAUAAUGUAGCAAUGGAACAAUAGUUAGUUUCCGUCUCUGUUCCAGCCUCUGUCUGUGCUUCCAGGGUACCCUCUCCAAAAUGUUUUACUUGUGUUGAAGGGGAGAUAUAAUACCCAGAUUAGAUGGGGAAACCUACUUGGUGUGAAGUUAUUUAUCAGUACUUUUGAUCAGUAUUAAAUAUGUAACAGCAGACCGGGGAGGGAAUCUGAGCCCAUGGUCAGGGCAUGAGAAGGUCGUUCUACACUACACACUUCCUACAGGUUAAAAACUAUUUUUGAUGGACAGCACUGUUUUCAAGCACACUACUGCAGGGGCAUAACCUUCUUACGUGAUUUCUCUCCACUGUUGUCACAAAGUCUCCUAUUGGGGGACAGUAUUGUACAGUAUAGCCAAUAAGAGUAUUCAUCAAACAGCGUUUGUAUUUAAGCUGAUUCUUCUCGUAUGUUUUGGUAAAGGUAUUGCUGACACAUUCUUCACAUAGACUUUUACUAAUGUAUGUAGUCUUCCGGGCUCUCUUGCUUUUUCAACAACAAAAAUACAUACAGUAUGUAAGAGGGCUGCUUUGGAGGUACAGAUGUAGGAUCUUAAUUUGAGCCAAUUUGCUACAGCAGGAAAAUAAACCUGCAGCAAGAGAAAAUUUGAAUUAUUAUAGUGAUUAUAAUUAAUGGACAUUUUUGUAGGGGCUGAUAUAUUUUUCUUAAGGGAAAAUCAAGUCUGAAAUGUCAAAGUGGAAAUUACAAACUUCAGAAGCCUUUUUAAACCUCAAAUACACUACAAGUGUGAAAUAUCAUGCAUUGCAGGAAAGUUCUCCUGCAACAGGGCGAUCAAAUUAAGAUCCUGUACUGUUAGAUCAACUUUUAUUUUGUAUUUUUCUGCUUAAAGGCUUUUAGUGCAUAAGUAGGAGCUGGUAUGAUUAUACUUAGAGCAAAUUUGAUUUAACUAUAUUUAUCUUGCAUGUAGAGACAAUACAAAAGAGCCUAUUCAGCAAUCAGUCAUAAACUUUCAACCUGGUUGUGAUCAGACAGAAAAUGGAAUAUGUAGUAUUUUCUAUGUUCUCUGUUUUUCCGUGUGUACCAGCACUGAGGAAAUAGAAUGUAUUAUUACUGUACAAUAAGUGCUACAUCUUUGACUGUUUUAACUAAUGCUCCUCAUCCUCAAGCAAACCAGUAGUGCUUAAAGGAAGAAUAUGUAGUCAUGUCAUAGCAUAUUUUCAUCCAUUGAGGCAUGUGCGUGUGCUGUACAUCACGUUUACAUUCUAUAUUUUAUGUUGACAUCUUCUGUGCAUAAUCUGUUUCAAUAUGCCUUUUUCAACUGAAACAAUUGAUCUAUAUCAGACUGUUCAUAUGUAAAUAUUCCAAAGCAAAAACAUGAAACAUAUUUUACUUUUUGUCUAUUUUACAAUGAUAACCUGCGGAUCAUUUGGAGCUUCAUCAUUCAGUUAUGUUUGAUUGACAUCAGGAAUUAUUUUACACUUAACUUUUAUGUGACCAAUUAACUCAUCCACUGUAUGGUGCUGUACCAAAGCCUUAUGUAAAAUACUAGUCUGUGUUGAUUUUCUCUUUUGCCACUGUUGUCCCGGGAAUUCAAUAUUGUCUGGGAUCACGUGUUGCUCACUUCAUGUUCAACUGCCAUGGAACUUCUUCUUCAAAAUAAACCCUGAAGAAAAAGCAUAAACGCACUGGCCUAAUACCACCAGUGGCUUCUAGAGAAUAGGUGACAAAGGCUUAUGACCUGUGGCAUAGGCUCAAGACAAAGUGACAUACGUUUAUUAAAAAAGGCAUUGGCAAAUUUGUUGUAUCAUUGGCUCAUGAGCGGUUUGUGACAUAGACAUACAGCAUGUUCUAUGAUGAUCCAUGGCAUGCCAAUAAUAAGUGGAAAGCAGCGUUGCGUUCAUGUCCAUCAUGUGUCAAUUUCCAACGCUUAG